rnacentral:sRNA from 1 species
UCUCUUUCAUUUUGCAAUUGUUGUAGAUUUAAAUCUGUAUUUGUUACCAGGUAGGUAUGUUGGCCUCUUAUGUUCGUAUGUUGUACAGUAUGAUGGUCGCCCCUGAUGAGAACUACAUAUCGCCUGAGUCAUCCUUUCCGUCUGUGUACAGGUUAUGAUGAAUAAACCAUUCAAAUGAAAGAGAGCAAGAACAGGAUAAGCAAAGAAAGUCACUCAGUGCUUGUAUUGUUGUUAUACUGCUUGCUUACUUCCCUUGCUUACAGGGAUUCGAACCUUUUGUGUCAUUGUAAAAACAACCAGUGCUACCCCACCGGCGCUUGCCUCCCUAAUGUGACGUGUGAUGACGGCUACUUCGGAGAGAACUGUCUGUACGAGAAUGUAGCCAAGAUCUCGACGACAAACGCCAGCUACCUGGUCGACUCGAAUGUUGAGACCUGCUCUCCCUUCAUGGAGAAAAAAAGUUUUGCUC